rfam:Canis lupus familiaris chromosome X, whole genome shotgun sequence.
GGGGGGAGGCCGGAUCCUGGGCUGUGUCCCCGGCAUCCUGUGCUCCCGGGCCUGAGAUGUUGGAUUCGCGCUCCGGCCGGGCAGCCCCCU